rnacentral:misc_RNA from 1 species
CAUUUUCUUUGCAAAAACUAUAUUAAACCAAUAAUCUACUGAUAGCAUUUUUGUGAGUGCUUCUUCUAUUACCAAACAUUGAAGCUGUAAAAUAAGAGGAAUGGGCCAGGCAUUUCGUCGAGCAUCUGGCAGAAUCCGAGCCACCGAUCCAUCUCCGACUCCCAAGAGCGUAAGUGAACGCAGGCCUCCCGUGGCCACCACCGAUAAGACGGAGAUCUCGAGGAGAACCGCCCAAUAUAAUAAUCAGGACCCUCUUGAUUUUGAUGGUACUCCAAGAAUUAAUGAUGACGAUGUCCUUGAAGAACGAGAUCC